rnacentral:rRNA from 1 species
UGGGGAAACUUCCGCAAUGGACGAAAGUCUGACGGAGCAACGCCGCGUGAGUGAUGAAGGCCUUCGGGUUGUAAAACUCUGUUGUCAGGGACGAACGUGCCGAUCUACAAUACAUUUCGGCAGUGACGGUACCUGACGAGGAAGCCACGGCUAACUACGUGCCAGCAGCCGCGGUAAUACGUAGGUGGCAAGCGUUGUCCGGAAUUAUUGGGCGUAAAGAGCAUGUAGGCGGGCUUUUAAGUCCGACGUGAAAAUGCGGGGCUUAACCCCGUAUGGCGUUGGAUACUGGAAGUCUUGAGUGCAGGAGAGGAAAGGGGAAUUCCCAGUGUAGCGGUGAAAUGCGUAGAUAUUGGGAGGAACACCAGUGGCGAAGGCGCCUUUCUGGACUGUGUCUGACGCUGAGAUGCGAAAGCCAGGGUAGCAAACGGG